GCGGAUGUCGCUUAAUUGCAGAGCAGAAGCCGUCCAAACUUACGACGAGGGUUCGAUUCCCUCACCCGCUCCU
rnacentral:tRNA from 1 species